rnacentral:lncRNA from 1 species
CCACUCACUGACCUACUGCCACUUCCUGAAACUAAAAAAUUCCUUUAACCAAACCCAAACUAAAACCAAAAAUAUUCAAGCAAUAAGGAUAAAUGGAAAAAAAUUGCAGCAGUAAUAUUAAUCCCUGUGUUAACUUUAAUCAUCUCUUUUCUCAUCUGAAACAAGUCUCACAACAUUUAUGAUAGCAUUUUUUUUUGCUGCAUUAUAUUUACAACAGAGUGUUGUAUUUAUCUACAGAAUCUCUGCAGUAAGGAGAUGCUGGUUCUGAACUCACAUCCAAGUGACUCUAAUUGCUUGAAAAGCAGACUCACCAUCAGGAGCCAGAGUAGGAGCAGGAGUAGCAGGAGCAGGAGCAGGAGCAGGAGGAGCAGGAGCAGGAUGAGCAGGAGCAGGAGCAGGAGCAGGAGCAGGAGCAGGAGCAGGAGCAGGAGCAGGAGCAGGAGCAGGAGCAGGAGAAGGAGCAGGAGCAGGAGCAGGAGCAGGAGCAGGAGCAGGAGCAGGAGGAGUAAUGGCUGCUUGGGGUGAAACACGAGGCUGCAAAAUAUCUGUUCAGUGAAAGUAAGUAUUAAGACACAAGGAAGUGCACCGAACAAAAAUGGUUAUGGUUGAAAGGAAAGGCUAUUACAAAAUGAUAAUGGUUUAAAACAGAAUGGAAAAAAAAGGAUUCUAUUAAAAAAAAAUAAUUAAAACUAAAAAGAAAGCAAUUAAAAGAAGUACUAAAAAAAAAUCAAAAAGCAAAUACCCAAAAAACCACACACCUCAACCACGCCCUAAAACCAAAGAAUUCAAAGCAACCAGACAUCCCAACCCAAACUAAAUCCAAAGAAAGAAAAAAAGAAAAGGGGACUAAUAGAAAACACCAUUAAAAUGGUAAUUUUAAUCCCACUGUUACCUUCAUCAACCACUUUCUCUUCUGAAAAACGUCUCAGGACAUUUCUCUUAGCAUCAGUUUUAUUGCUCCUUUAUCUUCACAAUUAGGUAUUGUUGUAUUUGCCUGCAGAACCUGUGCAGCAUGACGAGCGAUGCUGGCUCUGAACUCAUAUCCAAGUGACUCAAAUGCU